rnacentral:rRNA from 1 species
UACGGGGGGUGCGAGCGUUGUCCGGAUUCACUGGGCGUAAAGGGUGCGCAGGCGGCCGUGUGUGUGAGGCGUGAAAGCCCGGGGCUUAACCCCGGAAUUGCACCUCAAACUACAUGGCUAGAGCAUUGGAGAGGGUAGCAGAAUUCAUGGUGUAGCAGUGAAAUGCGUAGAUAUCAUGAGGAAUACCAGAGGCGAAGGCGGCUACCUGGACAAUUGCUGACGCUCAGGCACGAAAGCGUGGGGAGCAAAAGGG